rnacentral:rRNA from 1 species
GAUGAACGCUGGCGGCGUGCCUAAUACAUGCAAGUCGAGCGAACAGACGAGGAGCUUGCUCCUCUGACGUUAGCGGCGGACGGGUGAGUAACACGUGGAUAACCUACCUAUAAGACUGGGAUAACUUCGGGAAACCGGAGCUAAUACCGGAUAAUAUAUUGAACCGCAUGGUUCAAUAGUGAAAGACGGUUUUGCUGUCACUUAUAGAUGGAUCCGCGCCGCAUUAGCUAGUUGGUAAGGUAACGGCUUACCAAGGCAACGAUGCGUAGCCGACCUGAGAGGGUGAUCGGCCACACGGGAACUGAGACACCGUCCAGACACCUAAGGGGAGCAGCAGUAUGGAAUCUUCCGCAAUGGGGGAAAGCUUGACGGAGCAACGCCGCGUGAGGGAUGAAGGUCUUCGGAUCGUAAAACUCUGUUAUUAGGGAAGAAGAAAUGUGUACGUAACUAUGCACGUCUUGACGGUACCUAAUCAGAAAGCCACGGCUAACUACGUG